UCUCACACUCUCUCUCGUGACCAAACAUCUUCUUCCUCUUUCUUUCUCUCUCUUUCUUCUUCCAUUCCAAAUCUUUCUGUGUACUCAUAAUUAACAUUUAUUCUGAAAGAAGAAAACUUCAGAAAACAUUAGUAAUUAUGUACUCAAUCCUUCAGAUCAUCUCGACGUCGGCACUGUCACUCACUGGUACCACUACUCUUACGGCUUGACAUCGGCGCUGUCACUCACCAGUACCACUACUCCUACGGUGGCGUUUAGAUGGACUUUGACCAUUUCCAACGAAAAGAAAUUCACCUUCACUUUCCGACCUACUGAAUUCGAUUCAAAAGUUAGACAGUCGAUCUGAACCGCGGUGAGAGCUCCAAGAAAGAAAUUGAUUAAGAUCUUCCCAAAUAUCUUCCUGAGGCAUUUUGAUGGUUUGGUGACGACCACCAUGAAGAUGAUGGAGGUGCUAGUUGAUCUAGUGAACAGUUGCAGAUUGUUGAAUCAUUAAAAAGAUUUAGAAGGUUUGAAGUUUAAGAAGAGGAAAAAUUGACCCUAUGAGUGGUACCAAAAACACAAUAAGUGAUGAUUUGAAGAUUUAAGAAGAUCGAUUGAUUUGAAAUGGAGUUUAUUCUUGAUAAAUGUUGAAAACAUUGGGAAAGCAAGAGAUAGAUAAAAGAGAUGUAAAUUCGGGAAAGAAAAAGAAAAAGGUGAAAACUUAGGAUAGGGGUAAAACGGAAAAAGAAGACACAGUUAUCUACAGUGGACAUUGGUUUUUUGUGGUUUUGGGUAGUUAGCUAAUUUUGUUCUCAUUUGUGUAUAUCUAGCAAAUUGUCUCUAUAAAUUAAUAUAAAUUAUAUAUAUACA